UUUCCGUAGGUGAACCUGCGGAAGGAUCAUUACCGUACUUGAAAAGUAUAAUGGAUGAAAGAUGUUGUGAAAAUGAAUUUUGUCACACUCUUUCAUGAAUCACAACUUGGACGAGUCUUGUUGGAUGUAACAAUCUAUAUUAGACUUGGUACAAGUUCUGAGCAUGGCCAAUGUGUCAUGCAAUUGAAUGUUCAACUCUCGAGUAAAAUGUGAGCAUACACUAGUGUUAAGUGAGGGUAGUCUUUCGAACUUUAAAGAAUUCUACGCCCUCGCUUACUGUACGCUCUAUGUACUCUAUGAGUUGUACGUCAAAGCAAAACAAAAAACGUGUUGUUGAAAUCAUAUAAAUACAAAAAUAAAAAUCAACCUCGAGUGGUGGAUCACUUGGCUCGU
rnacentral:misc_RNA from 1 species